rnacentral:tRNA from 1 species
GGACGCUUAGUUCAGGGGUAGAACGCUGUCUUCACACGGCAGAAGUCACUGGUUCAAAUCCAGUAGCGUCCA